rfam:Flavobacterium sp. FPG59 Contig_144, whole genome shotgun sequence.
UUUUAGCCCCGAUAGCAGUGGAAAUCCUUUCUAGUCUUACAUGUAUUUCAGGUCUCUGAAAUGUGUGUAAGACUAGAAAGAUUGUAACGGAUAGCGGGAUUAGCU